UUGCGGAGUUCAGCCGGCCCGGCCCCCGGGCCACCGGGAGGUCCCGCGCUAGGUGACUGCGCGCCGGAGCCAGAGCGCAGGAGGCGCGGAGAGGAGAGACGGGACGCGGGGAGCCGGGGGUCUGGAGCAGGAUUUCAGGUGGACCUCUCAACUUCUACUGAAACAGUAUCUGGGUGAUACCGUACCUGUGGAGAAAGUCACACCCAUUUUAUCCAGAUUCAGCUACAAUAAAGGUUGGGCUCCUUCGAUUCCCCAUUGAUGAAUUGUUCCUUCUGAGCCAUCGGGAACUGGGAUGAAGCCACCUGUCAUUCCCCCAAUAGGACCUGUCCCGCAGUCACAGCCCCUGUACAUGGUUGUAUAUCUUAGUUAUGAGUCCUUCU